UACGUAGGGUGCGAGCGUUGUCCGGAAUUAUUGGGCGUAAAGGGCGCGUAGGCGGCCUGAUAAGUAGGGGGUGAAAUCCUGCGGCUUAACCGCAGGGCUGCCUUCUAAACUGUCAGGCUCGAGCACAGUAGAGGCAGGUGGAAUUCCCGGUGUAGCGGUGGAAUGCGUAGAUAUCGAGAGGAACACCAGCGGCGAAGGCGGCUCACUGGGCUCCACCUGACGCUGAGGCGCGAAAGCGUGGGGAGCGAACCGG
rnacentral:rRNA from 1 species